rnacentral:lncRNA from 1 species
UGGAAAUUCAGGCUAUAAGCUUUAUGUGAUUUAAAUUUAGCUACUCACACUAAAAAUAUUCCCUUCAUCUUUUUUAUCUUCAACUCAUUACCAUUGCAAAAUCCUCUAAGCAAGCACACUCUCAUACUGAGUCACCUGCUGUAGUCUACGAAGCUCUGAUCGCUGUGGUUUGUGUUUAGGUCCAUCUGCAGAGGAUUGCAGGGUCUGGGAAAUGUUACACUCUGUACUCUUCUCCAACAUUUUCAUUAAGAAUAAAUAUUUGUAAAUCAUUAUCAAGAACAGCAUUCAAGGGGAAAACCAGGCUAAAUGACACAGUGUAAAUAAGAGGUUUGUACAGAAAUGGGUACUAAGUUUUAGAGGCAAGCAGACAGCCCCAAGUCUGAAUUGGAAUGCCUUUUUUUUAUUUUUUUAUUUUUUAUUUAUUUUUUUAUUAUUAUUACACUUUAAGUUCUAGGGUACAUGUGCAUAACGUGCAGGUUUGUUACAUAGGUAAACUUGUGCCAUGGUGGUUUGCUGCACAGAUCAUCCCAUCACCUAGGUAUUAAGUCCAGAAUUUAUUAGCUAUUCUUCCAAUGCUCUUCCUGCUGUCACCCACAUACUCUCUGACAGGCCCCACUGUGUGUUGUUCCCCUCCACGUGUCCAUGUGUUCUCAUCAUUUAGCUCCCACUUAUCAGCGAGAACAUUUGGUGUUUGGUUUUCUGUUCCUGUGUUAGUUUUCUGAGGAUAAUGACCUCCAGCUCCAUCCAUGUCCCUGCAAAGGCCAUGAUCUCAUUUCUUUUUUAUGGCUGCAUUGUAUUCCAUGGUGUAUAUCCAUAUUUACUUUGUUCAGUCUAUCAGUGAUGAGUAUUUAGGUUGAUUCCAUGUCUUUGUUAUUGUGAAUAGUGUUGCAAUGAACAUACGCAUGCACGUAUCUUUAUAAUAGAACAAUUUAUAUUCCUUUGAUUAUCUAUCCAGUAAUAGGAUUGCUGGGUAGAAUAGUAUUUCUGCCUCUAGGUCUCAGAGCAAUCUCCACACUGUCUUCCACAAUGGUUGAACUAAUUUACACUACCACCAGCAGUAUAAAAGCAUUCCCUUUUCUCCACAACCUGGCCAGCAUCUAUUGUUUUUUGUCUUUUUAAUAACAGCCAUUCUGACUGCUAUGAGAUGGUAUCUCAUUGGGGUUUUCAUUUACAUUUUUCUAAUGAUCAGUGAUGUUGAGCUUUCUUUCAUGUAAUUGUUGGCCACAUGUAUGUCUUCUUUUGAGAAGUAUCUGUUCAUGUCCUUUGCCCACUUUUUAAUGGGGUUGGUUUUUCCAUGUGAUAAAUUUAAGUUCCUUAUAAAAGCUGAAUAUUAGACCUUUGUCAGAUGGAUAGAUUACGGAAAUUUUCUUCCAUUCUGUAGGUUUUCUGUUUACUCUGACGAUAGUUUCUUUUGCUGUGUGGAAGCUCUUUUGUUUAAUUGAAUCCCAUUUUUCAAUUUUUGUUUUUGUCGCAAUUACUUUUGGCAUUUUUGUCAUAAAAUCUUUGCCAUGUCUACUCUUUGAGUGGUAUUGCCUAGGUUUUCUUCUAGGAUUUUUAUAGGUUUGCAUUUUACAUUUAAAUCUUUAGCAUAUCUUGAGUUGAUUUUUGUAUAAGGUGUAAGGAAGUGGUCCAGCUUCAAUUUUCUGCAUAUAGAUAGUCACUUCUUUCAGCACUAUUUAUUAAAUAGGGAAUCCUUUUCCCAUUGCUUGUUUUUGUCAGAUUUGUUGAAGAUCAAAUGGUUGCACAUGUGUGGUCUUAUUUCUGAGUUCUCUAUUCUGUUCUGUUGGUCUAUGUGUCUGUUCUUGUACCAGUACCAUGCUGUUUUGGUUACUGUAGCCCUGUAGUAUAGUCUGAGGUCAGGUAGCAUGAUGCCUCCAGCUGAGUUAACCAAACCACAGAGAUGGCAGCCUGCCCCUCCGUGCAGAGGCUUCAUCCCAGAGAG